CCUACAGGUGGCAGCAGUGAGGAAUAUUGGUCAAUGGGCGCAAGCCUGAACCAGCCAAGUCGCGUGAGGGAAGACGGUCCUAUGGAUUGUAAACCUCUUUUGUCGGGGAGCAAAAGACGCCACGCGUGGCGUUCCGAGAGUACCCGAAGAAAAAGCAUCGGCUAACUCCGUGCCAGCAGCCGCGGUAAUACGGAGGUUGCGAGCGUUAUCCGGAUUUAUUGGGUUAAAGGGGUGCGCAGGCGGAGGCUCAAGUCAGCGGUAAAGUUGGGAGGCCCAACCUGUUCGAGCCGUUGAAACUGGUUUUCUUGAGUGAGUGAGAGGUAUGCGGAAUGCGUGGUGUAGCGGUGAAAUGCAUAGAUAUCACGCAGAACUCCGAUUGCGAAGGCAGCAUACCGGCGCUCAACUGACGCUCAUGCACGAAAGUGUGGGUAUCGAACAGGAUUAGAUACCCGGGUAGUC
rnacentral:rRNA from 1 species